rnacentral:rRNA from 1 species
GCCCCAGUAACGGCGAGUGAAGCGGCAACAGCUCAAAUUUGAAAUCUGGCCCUCGGGUCCGAGUUGUAAUUUGUAGAGGAUGCUUUUGGCGCGGUGCCUUCCGAGUUCCCUGGAACGGGACGCCAUAGAGGGUGAGAGCCCCGUCUGGUUGGACACCAAGCCUCUGUAAAGCUCCUUCGACGAGUCGAGUAGUUUGGGAAUGCUGCUCUAAAUGGGAGGUAUAUGUCUUCUAAAGCUAAAUAUUGGCCAGAGACCGAUAGCGCACAAGUAGAGUGAUCGAAAGAUGAAAAGCACUUUGAAAAGAGAGUUAAAUAGCACGUGAAAUUGUUGAAAGGGAAGCGAUUAUGACCAGACUUGGGCUUGGUUGAUCAUCCGGCGUUCUCGCCGGUGCACUCUUCCGGCCCAGGCCAGCAUCAGUUCGCUGCGGGGGAUAAAGGCGUCGGGAAUGUGGCUCCCUCGGGAGUGUUAUAGCCCUUCGUGCAAUGCCCUGUGGUGGACUGAGGACCGCGCUUUAUGCAAGGAUGCUGGCGUAAUGGUCAUCAUCGACCCGUCUUGAAACACGGACCAAGGAGUCGUCUUCGUAUGCGAGUGUUCGGGUGUCAAACCCCUACGCGUAAUGAAAGUGAACGCAGGUGAGAGCUUCGGCGCAUCACCGACCGAUCCUGAUGUUCUCGGAUGGAUUUGAGUAAGAGCAUACGGAGCCGGACCCGAAAGAAGGUGAACUAUGCCUGUAUAGGGUGAAGCCAGAGGAAACUCUGGUGGAGGCUCGCAGCGGUUCUGACGUGCAAAUCGAUCGUCAAAUAUGGGCAUGGGGGC